GUAGGUGGCGAGCGUUGUCCGGAAUGACUGGGCGUAAAGGGAGCGUAGGCGGCUUGGCAAGUUAGGAGUGAAAUCCCGUGGCUUAACCACGGAACUGCUUUUAAAACUGUCAGGCUUGAGUGAUGGAGAGGCAGGCGGAAUUCGUGGUGUAGCGGUGAAAUGCUUAGAUAUCGCGAAGAACUCCGAUUGCGAAGGCAGCCUGCUAAGCUGCAACUGACAUUGAGGCUCGAAAGUGUGGGUAUCAAACAGGAUUAGAUACCCUGGUAGUCCACGCCGUAAACGAUGGAUACUAGGUGUGCGGGGACUGACCCCCUGCGUGCCGCAGUUAACACAAUAAGUAUCCCACCUGGGGAGUACGAUCGCAAGGUUGAAACUCAAAGGAAUUGACGGAAG
rnacentral:rRNA from 1 species